ensembl:lncRNA
GUCCUCUCUAGAAACAUCUUCACUAUCAUGGGAUAACACUAAUAAAGAAGCCCAAGCUUCAUGGUUGUUAUAAUAGUUCUAGAAAAGAUGCAGAGAAUGAGACAGGUGCCAAAUGCACUGGCGUUGGUGACAAAUCAGAACCCUGUGUCAGCAGGGAGCAAGCUGUUCUCGUUGAGUUGUGCUCAGUGUUGUAUCAUCAUCAGUUUGCUUUUCAGGAUGCUGUAAGGAGCAGUGCCAGGAGACACACUGCCUUGUCACUGUUCUUACUCUUGGGAUGUUGGUGAGGAUGUGGCUCUUUGCCUUACACAGCAUCUUCUUCAUCAAGGUCCCCAGGUAGAGAACUCCUUUCAAGCUCAUAAUUAGGACUAGUUACAUUUCUGAGUGUCUUGGUUAGUUUCCAUCUUCUGGGUAAGUGUCGUGACAAAACAAAGCAAAAUUCCUUCUGGGUUGGCUUUGUGAUUCACACCAGCAAGUGUACUGAAAGUUAAGGUUAGCAUGUUUGAGAACCUGUGUUCAUUUUACUUCUAGUUUCACAUUUUUCUGUCUAGUUUCAUUUCUUUUACUCCAUGUUUUAAAAUAUACUGCAUUACUUAGGACCCCUAGUUGAGAAUGGCUAGGAAUUCAAAUAGGGAAACAGGGACGGUAUUAUGUCUAAUAAUUAGUGAAGCUUCAUCCAUGGCUGGGUUUGGGGUUUUUUUUCUUCCCUGCUACAUAACCUUGCUCCUUUCUGAGACUCUGGCCUCCCCUUACCCACCCCUACAGGGUGCUGGCAGCACAGGCUGGUGCUGUCUGGAGACAGAAAUUCCAGUAGAAUAUUUCUUUCAUCCCAGAAUCCAGACAAAUUUCCCAAGGAUCUUUGGAGACUGCAGAUGAGUUUUGGUUGUAACCAUGGUGAUGCCGACAGCCAGCCCAAGUGCACCAUUAGAAACAAUAUCUGAAAGGAACCUGUCUUCAAGUCCACAAAGGCAGACUUCGUGACAAAGCUUUCUGAUUAGUGACUGCCAUUUGCACUAGUGAUGAUACACCUUUAAGUCCAGAACUCUGAAGGGAGAGACAGGUGGAUCUUUGAGUUCAAGACCAGCCUGCUCUACAGAGGACGUUCCCAGGAUAGCCAAGGACACACAUAGAAACCUUGUCUUCAAGAACAACAACAAAAAAAAAUAAAGAAAAUAAAACAAAAAGAAGGGCUCUCUUUAGUUCAACCAUACUAUCUAUAACGACACCCAUAGCUCUCAUUGUCCUAAGAACACAUUUUUAUGGCAUUUGUGUUUAAGUGACAGGAUCUAGCUGAGGCUGGUUCCUUUCAGUCCAGGACAAUCUCUCUUGAACAUUUCCUAUCACAAAGCCUUGUGAAGAACCCAAGUUGUCUAUCUGUCUCAUGGAGUGUACUGCAGUCAGCAUUUGUCUGCAUGUUGCCUUACUGUCAGAUUCGGGUUAGACAUUUUUGCAAGGAUUUUACACAAGUAAUAGCUUAUGCUUCUUGUUGCCAUACUUUCAGAAAUUUGUAAUUUUGGGAAAUGUGACAAGCAUAGGUUAAAUAAACACACACUGAAUUGA